AGAACGAACGCUGGCGGCAGGCUUAACACAUGCAAGUCGAACGCCCCGCAAGGGGAGUGGCAGACGGGUGAGUAACGCGUGGGAAUCUACCUGGUUCUACGGAAUAACUGAGGGAAACUUCAGCUAAUACCGUAUACGCCCUAAGGGGGAAAGAUUUAUCGGUGCCAGAUGAGCCCGCGUUGGAUUAGCUAGUUGGUGGGGUAAUGGCCUACCAAGGCGACGAUCCAUAGCUGGUCUGAGAGGAUGAUCAGCCACACUGGGACUGAGACACGGCCCAGACUCCUACGGGAGGCAGCAGUGGGGAAUAUUGGACAAUGGGCGAAAGCCUGAUCCAGCCAUGCCGCGUGAGUGAUGAAGGCCUUAGGGUUGUAAAGCUCUUUCAGUGGGGAAGAUAAUGACGGUACCACAGAAGAAGCCCGGCUAACUUCGUGCCAGCAGCCGC
rnacentral:rRNA from 1 species